rnacentral:tRNA from 1 species
GGCAAUGUGGCUUAGUGGUAGAGUGCUUGCCUAGCAUGCAUGAAGCCCUGGGUUCAGUUCUUCAGUGCCA